AGAAAGAAAGAAAGGGAUCGGGUGUUUUAACCAGAUCUGGAUCUGUCGUCAUUUUCGUAUUCAGUGCUUUGAUUGCUUUCUAAUCCAUUCAAUUCACUCUCACCUUUUCCUAGACGAUAACAAUAAAAACAAACUAGUAUUUUUCUCUCUCUUAUCUUUCUGUUUCCGCUUUCAAUUACCACAGUUCAGGUUUCAGACCUAUUAUUACUAUCCUGUCACAAUCUGGCGCUUAUUAUUUUUUUCUUUUAUGUGGAGCAGUGAUUAAUUUGUCGUUAUUUAUGCUAAUUCGAUCGCUGCAAGGUAAAGUUCAUUUUAACACAGUUCUGGUUCAGGAUUUCAAGAAUUAAGAGGAAUUUUGGUUUUCUUUUUUGGAGGAAAAUUGCUCUACUGCAUCUUAUUGGAUAUUUUAGGUACAUUUGUUCCUUAGUACUUUAAAUGAACGACUGCAAAUAAGGAGAAAUUAUAGAGAAUGAAUUUUAUUGGCCGCCUCAUUGUGUUUAUUGUUGAUUUACGACAUGGGAAAUUUUAUAGUGGUUUUUAAUUGGGGCGAAAAGGGGAGGAAAUACACCUAGGCGGUCAAUUUUUGUGGGUCUGGUGGGAGGAAUUGUUUUGUACAGGGCUUAGUUAUGCUAUUCUCCAAUGCUUUAUCUGCGGCUGUGGAUCCUCUAUGUCUUCCGGCAAACCAUUGUUGUCUACCUCUGAACCGUCGUCUGCAACAAGCCCUCACCAUCGCCGUCACUCAUCACUGACAAUCGGCUCACUGGGACGCCUGUGUCACAACACAUCGAUCUCUUCAUCUGUUACUGACGGUUCACAACAUAGCAAUUUGUCCGAUCAUAAUGAUGAAUUGGAGGACGAGUUGGAGGAAUUUGAUGAAGACAUUUCCCCAUUAGGAGGUGCUUUAAGGAAUUCUGUUGAAUGUCCUGCUUAUCUUCGAACCAGAAAGAAGUUCAAGCCAGUUGACCUUCAGUUGCAACUUCCCCUGCCUGAGAGAAAACUCCUUGUGUCAUGGGGUGGUGUGACGGAUCCACAGCAUGUUUGGUCUAUGCGUGAAGUUUCUGGGGCUUCAUCUCAAGCUGUUUCUUCUGGGAUUCAGGAUUAUUUGAACAAGUCCCAGAGGUCUGAGAGGUUCCUUCAGAUAAGCAUGCAGCUUAAAGAAAAUUUAACACAUCAUGAUAACCCUAGGUUGAUCCAUAUUAACGAUCCUAAGAGGACUAAUGAUAAUUUUGAGUAUUCUGGAAAUGAGAUCCGGACCAGUAAAUAUACCUUCCUUAAUUUUUUGCCUAAGAAUCUCUUCAUUCAGUUCCACCGGGUUGCUUAUUUGUAUUUUUUGGCUAUUGCUGCUCUGAACCAGCUUCCACCUCUUGCUGUCUUUGGGAGAACAGUAUCACUUGUCCCUCUUCUAUUUGUGCUUACUGUAACAGCUGUAAAAGAUGGUUAUGAGGACUGGCGAAGACACAGGUCCGACAGAAAUGAGAAUAACCGGGAAGCUCUGGUGCUUCAAUCUGGAGAAUUCCAUCCAAAAAGAUGGAAAAAGUUACAAUCUGGUGAGGUAGUGAAAAUCUGUUCUGAUGAGACAAUUCCUUGUGAUAUGGUGUUGCUGACCACAAGUGAUCCUAGUGGAAUUGCCUAUAUCCAGACAAUGAAUUUGGAUGGCGAGUCAAACUUGAAAACAAGGUAUGCAAGGCAAGAAACUAAUAAAUUAGUACUUGAUGGGACAAUAAUAUCUGGGGUUAUCACAUGUGAACAGCCAAACAGGAAUAUCUACGAGUUCACAGCCAACUUGGAGAUAAAAGGGCAGAGGUAUCCUCUCAGCCAGUCGAACAUUAUUUUGCGAGGUUGUCAGCUUAAGAACACAGAAUGGGCACUUGGCGUAGUAGUUUAUGCUGGGAAGGAUACAAAAGCUAUGCUGAACAGUGCAAUGUCACCUGCUAAACGAAGCAGAUUGGAAACCUACAUGAACCGGGAAACAUUUUGGUUGUCAGUUUUUCUUUUAAUCAUGUGCCUUGUUGUAGCAAUUGGGAUGGGCUUAUGGUUAAAUACCCACAAGAAUCAGCUUGACACAUUGCCUUAUUACCGGAAAAUAUAUUUUGACAAGAAGAAGUUUGGGGAAAAGUACAAAUAUUAUGGAAUUCCAAUGGAGACAUUUUUUUCUUUUUUGAGUUCUAUCAUUGUGUUUCAGAUAAUGAUUCCGAUCUCUCUUUAUAUCACUAUGGAGCUGGUUCGGUUGGGACAAUCAUAUUUCAUGAUUGGUGACAGGCAUAUGUAUGAUAGUAGCUCUGAUUCAAGGUUUCAGUGCAGAUCCUUGAAUAUUAAUGAGGAUUUGGGACAAAUACGCUAUGUAUUUUCUGAUAAGACGGGCACGCUAACAGAAAACAAGAUGGAAUUUAGAAAAGCUAGUGUUUGGGGAAAGCAAUAUGGUAGCACCCUCUCUGUUGAUGGAACAGGCGACACAAAUGUUGGAGCUGAAGCUGUCUUGGAGGGUAGAAGAACAUGGAAGCUCAAAUCUGAAAUUACCCCUGAUUCUGAACUCCUCAAAUUGUUGCACAAUGAUUUGUCUGGAGAUGAAAGGAUUGCUGCACAAGAAUUUUUUCUGACACUUGCUGCAUGUAAUACUGUGAUUCCUAUUGCCACCCAAUCUCCAUCUUCUAGUGACACUGACAGUACAUUGCGGGCCAGUUAUGGAAUCGUCGAUUAUCAGGGUGAAUCUCCUGAUGAACAGGCACUGGUUGCUGCAGCGUCUGCCUAUGGGUAUACACUUUAUGAGCGGACAUCUGGGCAUAUUGUAGUUGAUGUCAAUGGUGAGAAAUUAAGGUUGGUUGUUUUGGGUCUUCAUGAGUUUGAUAGCGUGCGUAAAAGAAUGUCUGUUGUUAUCAGAUUUCCAAAUGAUAGUGUAAAGGUAUUGGUGAAGGGGGCUGAUACAUCUAUGUUCAGCAUUUUAAAGAGAGACCAUCCUGAUGAUAAUCAUACAAAACAUGCUACACAGAGUCAUCUGAAUGAAUAUUCAUCUGAAGGUUUGCGUACCCUAGUUGUUGCUUCUAGGGACCUUACAGGUGAAGAACUUGUGGAAUGGCAAUCCACGUACGAAGAUGCAAGCACAUCCUUGACGGACAGAUCUAUAAAAUUGCGUCAAACAGCAGCUCUUAUAGAAUGUGACUUGACCCUACUUGGGGCCACUGCAAUCGAGGAUAAGUUACAAGAGGGUGUACCAGAAGCCAUUGAGUCCCUGCGGCAAGCUGGAAUAAAGGUGUGGGUUCUUACUGGAGAUAAGCAAGAGACAGCCAUUUCUAUUGGUCUUUCUUGCAAACUCUUGACUGCAGAUAUGGAACAGAUUAUUAUAAAUGGAACUUCGGAGAGUGAAUGCAGAAAAUUUCUUUGUGAUGCUAAGGCCAAAUAUUGUGUGAAAUCUGCAAAUAGCUGUGACCAGAUAUCAGUAUGGAGGCAGAAUACUGAAAGUGAUUACCUUGAGAUUCCUCUUGGCACAAAGUUAUCUAGCUUGCAACAGCAGCAUGCAGGACAGGAGGAAGGAGCUUCUUUUGGACCACUAGCACUUAUAAUUGAUGGGAAUAGUCUGGUUUACAUAUUAGAGAAAGAUCUGGAGUCUGAGCUAUUUGACCUCGCAACUUCGUGUAAGGUUGUGCUUUGUUGUCGUGUUGCACCCUUGCAAAAGGCUGGAAUUGUUGACCUGAUCAAAUGUCGGAGUGAUGAUAUGACACUAGCCAUUGGUGAUGGAGCUAAUGAUGUUUCCAUGAUCCAAAUGGCGGAUGUUGGUGUUGGAAUAUGUGGUCAAGAAGGGCGUCAAGCCGUAAUGGCUUCAGAUUUUGCAAUGGGACAAUUCAGAUUUUUGAAACGAUUGCUUUUGGUGCACGGACAUUGGAAUUAUCAGCGCAUCGGUUAUCUGGUUCUUUAUAACUUCUACCGUAAUGCUGUUUUCGUGUUAAUGCUUUUCUGGUACAUUCUGUAUACAGCUUUUUCAACGACUUCUGCACUGACAGACUGGAGCAGUGUUUUUUAUUCAGUUUUAUAUACAUCACUACCUACUAUUGUUGUUGGAAUUCUGGACAAGGACUUAAGUCACAAGACUUUGUUGAAGUAUCCAAAACUCUAUUCUGCUGGCUAUCGACAGGAGAGCUAUAAUAUGUCCCUCUUCUGGAUCACUAUGCUUGACAUGCUAUGGCAGAGCCUUGUUCUCUUCUAUGUACCCUUGUUCACCUAUAGAGAUAGCACGAUUGACAUAUGGAGUAUGGGUAGCUUGUGGACAAUUGCAGUUGUUAUCUUAGUUAAUAUGCAUUUGGCAAUGGAUAUUCAGCGCUGGGUUGUUAUUACUCACAUCUCAUUAUGGGGAUCAAUAAGUAUCACAUACAGUUGCAUGGUGGUGCUUGAUUCUAUACCCGUGUUUCCUAAUUAUGGUACAAUAUACCAUCUGGCAAAGUCGCCUGCUUAUUGGCUCUCCAUUUUGCUCAUAGUAGUUGUAGGAUUGCUUCCUCGUUUUAUUUUCAAAGUUCUGCAACAAAUUUUCUGGCCUUCAGAUAUCCAAAUUGCCAGAGAAGCAGAAAUAAUGAGUAAAAGACCGCGUUUUUUUGGUUCAAAGCCAGAUCGGAUUUCAAGCUAACAUAUCUGUUUCCAUGUCAUGUGAUGUAGCCGAUGCUUGUAGCUCUCUCUCAUCAUAGAUUGCUUACCUGACUUGUUGCCAACCUAUGCGAGUGCAGAAUCAAAAAAUACUUGGCUUGAUAGAAAAGAAAGAGGGGGGUCGACUCCUGGCUGUGUGGAUCAAAAGAGGUUAAAGAGAUAUAACCCAGUUGAGGAGAAAUAGUGACAUAAUGCCAGGAGGAGUGUGUGCUUCAAUAUUUUGCCUGGUAUGAUUGAAGAUCGUAUCGGCAUAAAUGCAAUUUCAGGCCAUUACUUUGAACUUGAAUCCUUAGUAAUUUUAGAUGUGCCACAGAGAGAGAGAGAGAGAGAGAGAGAGAGAGAGAGAGAGAGAGAGAGAGAGAGAGUAAACAAAUAAACAAAGUAUGUAACUGUUUUUUAUGAAAAGUAGGCGUUGAUUUUACUGAACAAUCGAAGAGUGGUUUAAGGUUUCAGUAGCGGGACGAAUGAAAUAAUUUUUAUUUUCUCGAAACAUGCCAGGUUAUUUCAUUUGCUCUUGUUGGUGUCAGCUGAGAAACUCCUUUGUCCCUUGUGAUUGUUUAGCCAUCACCGUUAGCAGAUUGAUAUGCCAAAUAUGUGCAUCAUACAAAAUAGAAUAUUAAUUUCAAUAUUUCUCUAA